rnacentral:rRNA from 1 species
GUUGAACGCUGGCGGCAGGCCUAACACAUGCAAGUAGAGCGAGAGGCGGACGGGUGAGUGAUGUCUGGGCAACUGCCUGAUGUAGGGGGAUAACUACUGGAAACGGUAGCUAAGACCGCAUACCAUCAGAUGUGCCCAGAUGGGAUUAGCUAGUGGGUGGGGUAACGGCUCACUUAGGUGACGAUCCCUCGCUGGUCUGAGAGGAUGACGAGCCACACUGGAACGGGGCCACGGCCAAGACUCCUACGGGAGGCAGCAGUGGGGAAUAUUGCACAAUGGGCGAAAGCCUGACGCAGCCAGGCGGCGUGUGUGAAGAAGGCCUUCGGGUGUUAAAGCACGUUCAGCGGGGAGACGGUACCCGCAGAAGAAGCACCGGCUAACUACGUGCCAGCAGCCGCGGUAAUAC